rnacentral:rRNA from 1 species
UACGAACGCUGGCGGCAUGCCUAAUACAUGCAAGUCGAGCGGAGUUAUGAUGGAGCUUGCUCCUGAUUAACUUAGCGGCGGACGGGUGAGUAACACGUAGGCAACCUGCCCUCAAGACUGGGAUAACUACCGGAAACGGUAGCUAAUACCGGAUAAUCUCUUUCCUCUCCUGAAGAGAGAAUGAAAGGCGGAGCAAUCUGCUACUUGGGGAUGGGCCUGCGGCGCAUUAGCUAGUUGGUGAGGUAACGGCGCACCAAGGCGACGAUGCGUAGCCGACCUGAGAGGGUGAACGGCCACACUGGGACUGAGACACGGCCCAG